UUUUUUUUUUAUCUUUGUUCGCUCUAUCUAUUUCUUUUUGUUCGAGGUGAAGAGUUUGAGCCCCUUUCAAAAAAUAGGUAUUAAACCACAAUGAACAUAAUAUUUCUUUCGAUCGCAUUUUUUUAU
rnacentral:ribozyme from 13 species